GUGGCCGCGGUAGGCUGCCAGCCAGGCUGGGAAAGCGGUGGUAGCUGGUUGGGUUGCUGGGGCUCGGUUGUUGUAGUCGCGAUGUUCUUCUCGGAGGCCAGAGCCAGGUCGCGGACGUGGGAAGCCAGUCCCUCGGAACACAGGAAGUGGGUGGAAGUAUUUAAAGCAUGUGAUGAAGAUCACAAAGGAUAUCUCAGCAGAGAGGACUUUAAAACUGCUGUUGUAAUGCUGUUUGGGUACAAGCCCUCCAAGAUAGAAGUGGAUUCUGUGAUGUCUUCAAUAAAUCCAAAUACUUCUGGUAUAUUACUUGAGGGGUUUUUAAAUAUUGUCAGGAAAAAGAAGGAAGCUCAACGAUAUCGGAAUGAAGUAAGACACAUCUUCACAGCCUUUGACACCUACUAUCGUGGAUUUUUAACUUUGGAAGAUUUCAAAAAAGCAUUUAGGCAGGUGGCUCCCAAAUUACCGGAAAGGACUGUUCUUGAGGUAUUCAGAAACCUGGAAGUCAUCCCAAGUUCCUUUCUUUUUCUUACCCUCCACAUCCAAGCUGUCAACAAAUCUUGACUCUGACCACCUCUCAGCACCUCCACUGUGUCACCCAGUGCAAACCUCCACCACCAUCUCAGCCUCUUACCCAGCUCCAGGAU
rnacentral:sRNA from 1 species